rnacentral:tRNA from 1 species
GCUUUUAAAGGAAAACAGUCUUCCCCUGGACUUAGGCUCCAGAUCUCCCGGUGCAAAUCCGAGUAAAAGUA